AUAGUGUAUUCAAUGUAUUUAUUUAAGGAACUUAUAUCUAAGUCUACCAUAACAUAAUUGAGAACACGCUUUGUUAAUGUAAUAUGCUUCUCUUUUCAGUAUGUUAAUACUGACAAGUUAUAUGUAAAACAAUAAAGAAAUAUUGAAAACCGCGGUAAAAUUCUAAACAGAAAGUUCCUAAGCAAAUGGCAAACUCAAAAGCUCAAAAACAUCGAACGAAUGGAUAACAACUGUCAUAUUCAAGGCAGUCCUCGAACCCGAAAAGUUGAAGGUAUUAAUAUAAGUUGCAAUAACUUAUUUCCAAAUCCAGUAAAAUAUAAAUAAGUUUAAACUUAAUUCCUUUUAUCAUGUGAAAAUGGUGGAUUAAACCUGGUGUUAUAGCCUGGUAAAUCACUUGUAUGGCAGUCGCUUAUAACU
rnacentral:lncRNA from 1 species